GCCCGGUUAGCUCAAUCGGUAGAGCGUGAGACUCUUAAUCUCAAGGUUGCGGGUAAGUGCACGAUCAGUGUA